AUAAUAGGUUGCAUCUGCAAAGGAUGCAAUAGUUUGGGGAUGAUCAUACUUUUAACUAGGCAGGCUCUUCCCAUUAGAGAAACUGAUAGGUAUAUCAAUUUAUUUAGUUGGUAUACUAUAUUUAUAAUAGUUUUUGAGAUGUUACAGGUAUAAAGAAGGUUGAUGUUUUCAGGACCGCAUGAAAUAUGAUUCUAUUGCCAUUGUAUGGGGAUCAUAGUUUGGAGAAUUGUAUUGUUGUAGAUGCUUAAUGGCUGAUGAAACAUAUGACUUAAUUAUGGGAUUAUACUUUACAGUAUGUUUAGGAUAGGGUUCAUGGUUUACAUUUGGUUAAGCAAUGUAGAGUAAAAUAUUGUCUGUAAGUGCUGUUAGCUGUAUGGUUGAGAUACCAAUCGGGAUGCCCUGAAAGGAGAGUAAAGCAUGAAGCAAGUGUAUGAUGGUCUUAGGAUAAAUUAAAGAGGAGAGAAGAAAGACCUCCACUGUACAUUGUCACCUCCAUUGCGUCCAAGCUGUUUGUGGAGACUUUAUAUCUUGGAGAGGUGUGUAAGUUCAGAAUAUGUUUCAAGAAAAGUAUGCCAAAAAAUCAAUAAUUUAGGACUUGGAGGAGGUAUGGCCAGGCAACCAAAUCAAAAGCUUUGUGUGCUUCAAGACCGAGUAGAAGGGGAAGUAAUAGGAAAAUGCUGGGUUAAUGUUAUUGCUGCUUUAGCCAUUUUGAUCUCCUGCAUGAAUUGCCUUGUUCAGAAAAAUCUAAACUGAAGGGAGUGAAGAAUAUGAGGUAAAACCUGCUGUAAUUGAUUCUCAAUAAAUUUUGUUAGCAUUUUUUUAUAUUUUGACUUAAUAGAGUUAUCAGUCUGUAAAAUUCCAG